GAUGAACGCUGGCGGCGUGCCUAAUACAUGCAAGUCGAGCGAACAGACGAGGAGCUUGCUCCUCUGACGUUAGCGGCGGACGGGUGAGUAACACGUGGAUAACCUACCUAUAAGACUGGGAUAACUUCGGGAAACCGGAGCUAAUACCGGAUAAUAUAUUGAACCGCAUGGUUCAAUAGUGAAAUACGGUUUUGCUGUCACUUAUAGAUGGAUACGCGCCGCAUUAGCUAGUUGGUAAGGUAACGGCUUACCAAGGCGACGAUGCGUAGCCGACCUGAGAGGGUGAUCGGCCACACUGGCACUGAGACACGGUCCAGACUCCUACGGGAGGCAGCAGUAGGGAAUCUUCCGCAAUGGGCGAAAGCCUGACGGAGCAACACCGCGUGAGUGAUGAAGGUCUUCGGAUCGUAAAACUCUGUUAUUAGGAGAGAACAAAUGUGUAAGUAACUAUGCACAUCUUGACGGUACCUAAUCAGAAAGCCACGGCUAACUACGUG
rnacentral:rRNA from 1 species